AGGAAGGGGGCAGGAUGAGAUGGGACAGGGUUGGAUGUUUUAGAGCCAUUUGUAGGAUGGGUUUAAACAGCUUUUUUUUUUUUUUUUUUUAGGUUUAUUUGUGGGGUUUUUUUUAAGCAAGUCUGCAUGGAAAUGUGUCACCAAUAGCCAGCUGUUUCCAAACAGUUCAGCAUUGCUGGGGUAUUUUUACUGGCUGCAGGCGGAGGGACUGAUCUUGGAAAGAAACUUCAUGUGAAGUCCCCAGCCCAUUUGCAGAUUCAUGUGCUGGUCAAUUUCUGGAUGAGAUUUCACCUUUCUCAGGUGGGUAAAGGUGAUCUCCUCCAUGAGGGCACAGAUCUGAGGUCCUAGUGAG
rnacentral:lncRNA from 1 species